rnacentral:rRNA from 1 species
CGGAGGAAAAGAAACCAACAGGGAUUGCCCUAGUAACGGCGAGUGAAGCGGCAACAGCUCAAAUUUGAAAUCUGGCCUCGGCCCGAGUUGUAAUUUGCAGAGGAUGCUUCUGGCGCGGUGCCUUCCGAGUUCCCUGGAACGGGACGCCACAGAGGGUGAGAGCCCCGUAUGGUCGGACACCAAGCCUGUGUGAAGCUCCUUCGACGAGUCGAGUAGUUUGGGAAUGCUGCUCUAAAUGGGAGGUAAAUCUCUUCUAAAGCUAAAUACCGGCCAGAGACCGAUAGCGCACAAGUAGAGUGAUCGAAAGAUGAAAAGCACCUUGAAAAGGGGGUUAAAUAGUACGUGAAAUUGUUGAAAGGGAAGCACUUAUGACCAGACUUGGGCCGGGCGGCUCAUCAGGGGUUCUCCCCUGUGCACUCCGCCCGGCACAGGCCAGCAUCGGUUUUCGCGGGGGGAUAAGACCGACGGGAACGUAGCACCCUCCGGGGUGUGUUAUAGCCCGGCGGACGAUACCCUCGCGGGGACCGAGGACCGCGC